rnacentral:rRNA from 1 species
GGAAUACCUCAGUAACGGCGAGUGAAGCGGUAACAGCUCAAAUUUGAAAUCUGGCUCUUUCAGGGUCCGAGUUGUAAUUUGUAGAAGAUGCUUUGGGCAUUGCUCCGGUCUAAGUUCCUUGGAACAGGACGUCAUAGAGGGUGAGAAUCCCGUAUGUGACUGGUGGCAUUUGUCCGUGUAAAGCUCUUUCGACGAGUCGAGUUGUUUGGGAAUGCAGCUCAAAAUGGGUGGUAUAUUUCAUCUAAAGCUAAAUAUUGGCCAGAGACCGAUAGCGCACAAGUAGAGUGAUCGAAAGAUGAAAAGCACUUUGGAAAGAGAGUUAAACAGUACGUGAAAUUGUUGAAAGGGAAGCGCUUGCAACCAGACUUGCAGGUCGUUGAUCAUCCGGGGUUCUCCCCGGUGCACUCGGCGGCUUUCAGGCCAGCAUCGGUUUGAGUGGUGGGAUAAAGGCCUUGGGAAUGUGGCUCCUCUCGGGGAGUGUUAUAGCCCAAGGUGCAAUGCCGCCUAUUCGGACCGAGGACCGCGCUUCGGCUAGGAUGCUGGCGUAAUGGUUGUAAGCGACCCGUCUUGAAACACGGACCAAGGAGUCUAACAUCUAUGCGAGUGUUUGGGUGUCAAACCCAUACGCGUAAUUAACGUGAACGGAGGUAAGAACCCUUAAGGGUGCAUUAUCGACCGAUCCUGAUGUCUUCGGAUGGAUUUGAGUAAGAGCAUAGCUGUUGGGACCCGAAAGAUGGUGAACUAUGCCUGAAUAGGGUGAAGCCAGAGGAAACUCUGGUGGAGGCUCGCAGCGGUUCUGACGUGCAAAUCGAUCGUCAAAUUUGGGUAUAGGGGCGAAAGACUAAUCGAACCAUCUAGUAGCUGGUUCCUGCCGAAGUU